GGGGCCGAGCCAUCAAGUCCCUUGAAGACUCAACAGUUGUCUCUGCUAAAGAAGAACCGUUGGAAAGACCUCUCAACUCUCCAGAAGCUAAUUUCAUGCGUUUUGAGGCUGGUUCAUCAUCCUCCACACCUCCCAUGAAAUGUGCACCUCAGUCCAUAUAGUAUAGCAAUGAUAGAUAAACAAUAAAGGAAUAUAUGUUUGGAAAUCCUCCAAUGGAUCACAAGAAAUAUCUUCCAGAUUUUGAUAGAAAUUUUGAGGAAGCCUUGAUUUGUGAGAGAAAAAAGAGAGCGUUUCAGGGAGAUGGAAGAAACCGUAUAUUGAAGAAAAUGAAAGAGGCGCAGAGAGUUUCCCAAAAG
rnacentral:misc_RNA from 1 species